GAUUAUUACAUAUAUAUUUUUUCAUCCACAGAUAUAGCUUUAACACUCAGACGUGGGGAAAGCUAGCUGUACUACCCAGCUCCAGCCCUCCUCCCCACCGGAUCCAUCACUGCUGUGUCGGCCUGGGCUGCAGUUACCAGUCGGCCUUGACCACCACCACAAGCACCACCAUGACACCCAGCGUCACCGCCAGGAACCGCCUGGAGAGCAAGUUACGCCCGUUUAAAAACAAAUGCUUUCCGUCCAAUCCAGACACCGGAGGUGAUAUUGAACUGAAGACAUUUAAUAGGGACCCUCUGUUGACUGAAGUGACGGACUGUCAUAAUGCCGUUAACGGCAAGGGCGUUGAACCCGUAGGGAAUUGUCUUACCUUUGAGAAUCAGGAGGCCUUCGGUGAAAAGUGGAGCUGCUGGGAUACAGAGAAGGAGGGUACAUGUGAACUGGAGGAGAGCAAUGACAGCAUGGCACAACACCUUCCCGAUUUGCUGUUGGUGCUGGGGGGGAAGCCCUUAACCCGACACACAACCGUCUCAGUGUGGCAGAUGACACUGGCUAACCUGUAACCACUGAGCCCAAAGAGAGGACGCUAGUGGUUUUUGAAGUAGAAAAAGCAGCGUUUUUCUAUGGAAAUGAAACACAAAGCGGGGGUGUACUGCUAGAGUUACUGCUUGGCGCUUAGAGUUCCCUUCUGUGGAUGUGUUAGUCCACUUUCAGUUCUUCCCAAUUGAUUUGACACAUUACUCCAAACGGAGGUUUAUUCUCUGAAAAUACAGUUAGGUCUGGAAAUAUUUGGACACUGACACAAUAUACAUACUUUUGGCUCUGUACGCCACCACAAUUGAUUUGAAAUGAAACAACCGAGAUGCAGUUGAAGUGCAGACUUAUAGCUUUAAUUCAAGGGGAUGAGCAAAAAUAUUGAAUCCACCAUGUUUUAUAGGAUCAUGGGCCAUUCCAAGUCUUCUCCAUACCUCUUCCCCAUCAUUCUGGUACAGGUUGAUCUUAGUUUUAUCUGUCCAAAGAAUGCCGUUCCAUAACUUUGGUAAGUCUAAUCUGGCCUUUCUAUUCUUGAGGCUUAUGAAUUAUUUGCACCUUGUGGUGAACCCUCUGUAUUUGCUGUCGUGAAGUCUUCUCUUUAUGAUAGACAUGGAUAAUGAUAUGCCCACCAGAAUGAUGGGAAGAAAAGAAAAAAGGAAAUUAUCCUACCUCCACCACUGUUGUCUUCCGUGGACGUCCAGGAUUUUCUGUGUUGCAGAGCUCACCAGUGCAUAAUUUUUUUUCUGUAACCAAACUGUUGAUUUGGCCACUCCUAAUGUUCCUGCUAUCUCUGACAGAUUUUUUUUGUGUAGCCCUCAAAUAAAAGCUGAGAGACUGCACUUUAAGCCCAUAUUUAUUAUUUAACUGUAACUUGAAUAUAUUUUGGUGAACAGCCAUAAUAACUAAACUUGUGUCAGUGUCCAAUUAUGUCCAGACCUAACUGUAGACAACACAACCAUUGGAACAGACUCAUUGCAAAAUGAAGUGUUGUUUUUUUAUUGUCUCCAGAUAAUUAAAUAAAAAAUCUUUUCAUCAGGGUAUUUUCAAAAUCAGAAUUUACUUUUUCUUGAGCCAGACAUAGAGGGGGUAACAUUCUGCAAGUGUUUUAUCCUUCUGUAACAUGCAUUGGCCUCUUUGUCUACACAGGCCUCCUCCAUGGCCUGGAGAAAUGUUACCCUGUUAUGGGGUUCUCCAGGAGGAAAAUAAGUGCUCAACUGGGUUCAAAAAUGGAGAGUACGGUGGUAGGAACACAGUCACAAAACGUGGGUGGUUUUCAAUCCACUCCCAUAGCAAUGCUGAAUGCAGGAAUCUGAAAUUGUCCCAAACCAUCACAAACUACAUUUGUUCUAGUUGUUCCAGGUCUUCAGUGAGGGAAUUGAAAACAAAUUGAGGAGUCUUGCUGUAUUGUAUGGCCCCAAGACAACCACAUUCAAUGAGAUUGAAGGACAGAUGGUUGGCCCCACUUUGACCCAGGAAAUUGGCCAUGGUUGAUAAUUCCAUCUCCUUUUUUUUGGUGAGAUUGAAGACAGAAUCAUCAACAUAGUUUUUCAUCUAACUCCACAAUCCUCCAAUAACAAAACCCAAAAACGUAAUGGUUACUAUUGUUGAAGUUGAGCUGACAACAUGUGAUGAGCAGUCUAACCUUUACUCCCUGCUAGGUGAGGCUUAUGUUGAUGUAGGGCUAGGCACAGGGAGACUUGUAUUUCUGCUGCAUAACAUUAACUAUUUAUUAGCACAACACCCAAGGUAGCCUGCCUAUAGUUUCAGGGGUACCAGUCUCCAUAGGAAAUCAAUGGUUCAGCUGAAACUAAGUGUUGUUACCGGUAAUCAGAUGUUGUCAGUUUCACACAUCGUUACAGUUACAGUAAUUUUCACAGGGUUAACGUUAGUUACAUUCAUUUUCACAUUGUUUCUGUUAUAGUUGCAGUCAUUUUCACAUGGUUAUAAUUACAGUUAGUCACAACUUUAUCGUAACAGUUACAGUCAUUUCCAUGCCAAAUUUGAAUGAAAACCAGAGUCCAACAUUAACGAUUGUCUGCUUGCCCAGGGCCAGUAAAAAGUGGAUCUCGUCAGUUAAUUGCCCGACAUCUUCAGUUAAACAUUUAUUCCCUGCUCUAGCCUACCGCUGAAAACUGUUGAAAACAACUUGUGAAAUACGUUCCUACUCCCAAACAUCUCUAUAAAAAUUGCAACAAUAAAGUCAUGCAUUCAUGCUUUUUUUAUUAGUUACUUAUUCAGCAGUCAACACAUCAGCAUUUGCAUAAAAUGACUUCUCUACUUGCGCACAACCAGCACUCCUGUAAAAUUGCAAGUAGGAGCUAAGGGCAGGCGGCGGUAGAAGUGAAUAAUUCUAAUAAAAAGGACUAAGACAUAAGAAAACUAAAACAAUAAAGGAACAGUAUUACAAAAGGAACAGGAACUUCACAAUGACCAACAAGAUGCACUAGGGGCGGAAGAACGUAAAUAGGGACAGUGAUCAAUAACAAAUUGCUCCGUGCUUAAAAUUUGGGAAGAGGCUUUUGGAUCUCACUGCAGGACGUGACAACUGCGGCAUUAUGAGUAGAAAAUGUAUCGAUUGGCUUUCUUUGUUAUUAUCAACAGCUUGCUUAAAUAAAUAAGUAAUAUUUUUGUUUCUCUGGCUAUGGCGGUAGUAACAUUAUUUUGUGCAAGUUGCAGAAACAAUAUAGUGCCCUUAUUUGUGUCAGUCUCAAGGAACGGACAGAGAUUUGAAAGAUGUAAGGAAGCUUCCCUCUCCCUCGCUACUCAAACUCUCACCAGAUGCAGGCAACAUCAGUCCAGCAAAAUAAAGAAAACUACCAAAAUAAUAUGCUUAAAAUGACUCUGCUGUGCCUCACAAGUAAUACAACACUAUCUAUAACCAGUGUAAUCUGGUAUGUCAAGUAACACAACACGCUGCAUAACCAGUGUCAUCUGGUACGUUAAGUAACACAACACGCUACAUAACCAGUGUCAUCUGGUACGUCAAUUAACACAACACACUGUAUAACCAGUGUCAUUAUGUACCUCUACUAAUACAACACAAUGUAUAAUCAGUGUCAUCAAGUACCUCUAGUAAAACAACACACUGUAUAAUCAGUCUCAUCAGGUACCUGUAGUAACACAACACACCGUAUAAUCAGUGUCAUCUGGUAUGCCAAGUAACACAACACGCUGCAUAACCAGUGUCUUCUGGUAUGUCAAGUAACAACACACUGCAUAAACAGUGUCAUCGGGUACCUCUACUAAUACAACACACAGCAUAACCAUUGUCAUCUGGUACAUCAAGUAACACAACACGCUGCAUAACCAGUGUCAUCAAGUAUCUCUAGUAAUACAACAC
ensembl:lncRNA